GAUGAACGCUGGCGGCGUGCCUAAUACAUGCAAGUCGAGCGAACAGACGAGGAGCUUGCUCCUCUGACGUUAGCGGCGGACGGGUGAGUAACACGUGGAUAACCUACCUAUAAGACUGGGAUAACUUCGGGAAACCGGAGCUAAUACCGGAUAAUAUUUUGAACCGCAUGGUUCAAUAGUGAAAGACGGUUUUGCUGUCACUUAUAGAUGGAUCCGCGCCGCAUUAGCUAGUUGGUAAGGUAACGGCUUACCAAGGCAACGAUGCGUAGCCGACCUGAGAGGGUGAUCGGCCACACUGGAACUGAGACACGGUCCAGACUCCUACGGGAGGCAGCAGUAGGGAAUCUUCCGCAAUGGGCGAAAGCCUGACGGAGCAACGCCGCGUGAGUGAUGAAGGUCUUCGGAUCGUAAAACUCUGUUAUUAGGGAAGAACAAAUGUGUAAGUAACUAUGUACGUCUUGACGGUACCUAAUCAGAAAGCCACGGCUAACUACGUG
rnacentral:rRNA from 1 species